AGAUUGUCUGUGUGCCACUGCUGCUACGACUACUAAGGGAUGCCAUCCUAUAGGUGCACCUGGAGGACGAACACCCGUUUGAGCCUACAACAGACACCCAACGAGUCCAGCGAUGACUUGCUGUAGCGCAUUAGGGAAUGCCAUCAAGAAACUGUAUUCGUGAAUAUUGCGGAAGUUCGUGAAAAUAACGGAAGGUUGAGGUAAGUUCUAAACGAUUCUUUUUUAAUCAAUUGUAGAUGGAAGUGAAAAAAUGAUAAUACUUUUUAUUCUGAACCUGUAGGAAGGAACUGAAUGUUAUUUGCACUCUAUAAGCUCUAAAUGAUGUCUUAUUUCUAAGAUUGUAGAUGAAAAUGAUAGUGUUGUUUGUUCUAAUCCUUCAGAAUGCACUUUUUGUUGAAUGGGUUGAUAAUGAGUGGUCUCAAGCUCUGAAAGAAGCACUUCGCAAGGAAGAUUGCACUAAGUUCUAAACAAUGCUUUAUUUCUAGAUUGUAGAUGAUACCGAAAAAAUGACAAUGCUUUUUAUUCUAAACCCUCGGGAAGGAACUGAAUAAUUUUUUUUUACUUCAUAAGCUCUAAGCUAUGUCUUAUUUUUUCGAGUGUAGAUUGUAGUGAAGAAAACGGUAAUGCCUUUUGUUCUAAUCCUUCAGAAUGCAUUUUUGUUGAGUGGGUUGAUGAUGAGUGGUCUCUAGCUCUAAAAGAUGCAUUAGUAAUGCUCUGGAAGAAGGUAGAUUUUGUUGACAAUGUGAGAGCUGACCUCCUACUUUGUUUGGUAAAUGAAAUGAACCCGACAUGGCAGUACUGUUUUGAUAGCCAACUAAUGGUUUCGUCUGUUGUAGAGUGACACUAGCAGUACUGAAGUAAACAAGCAAGCACAGGGGCUCUCCAUCUAGGAAACCAUUGCCGAAGAAAAGGGGGUGUGAUUCAAGCAAAUGGAUGCAUAAUUUAAUCGUAAGAUAAAAUUGAUGCUUGGCCAUGGCUUCAUCUCAGUCUGAAUGUUCUGCCAGAAGCUCGCCUCUGAAUCUGCUGGGCACAAGUGGCAGAAACUACGCAAGGAACUACCUUUUCAAUGAAAUUCCGAACUAGGUGAUGCCACAAAAUUUUCACUCCAGAAGGGCCUUCGGACCAGAUAACGGUGGUAAUGAACCCAUGUCCUGACUAUAAGAGCAUGCAUGAGCUUCCACACACCAAUGAGGCAAGAUAAUGCAUAUACAUGUAAAUAUCGAUUAGUGGACUGUAUGUGGUGAGGAUUUAUUCCUUUGGCAUAUUAGCAAUGCUUAUUUAUAAGGUGGUACGCCCUAUUCUUUUCCCCUUAAUUGUGAUAUAUCUAAUAUUUGAUUUGUCCAACAUGAAGCAAUAAGAAAUAUGUGUA